rnacentral:rRNA from 1 species
UACGUAGGGGGCAAGCGUUGUCCGGAUUUAUUGGGCGUAAAGAGCGUGUAGGCGGCCAAACAGGUCAGCUGUGAAAACUCGAGGCUCAACCUCGAGACGUCGGUUGAAACCGUUUGGCUAGAGUCCGGAAGAGGAGAGUGGAAUUCCCGGUGUAGCGGUGAAAUGCGCAGAUAUCGGGAAGAACACCCGUGGCGAAGGCGGCUCUCUGGGGCGGUACUGACGCUGAGACGCGAAAGCGUGGGGAGCGAACAGG